UACGUAGGGGGCAAGCGUUGUCCGGAAUUAUUGGGCGUAAAGAGCGCGUAGGCGGUCCGAUAAGUCGGCUGUGAAAGUCCAGGGCUCAACCCUGGAAAGCCGGCCGAUACUGUCGGACUAGAGUCCGGAAGAGGCAAGUGGAAUUCCCGGUGUAGCGGUGAAAUGCGCAGAUAUCGGGAGGAACACCAAUGGCGAAGGCAGCUUGCUGGGACGGUACUGACGCUGAGGCGCGAAAGCGUGGGAGCAAACAGG
rnacentral:rRNA from 1 species